rnacentral:rRNA from 1 species
UAUAUUCGAGUUUUGAACGGGUUAGUCGCUGGCCUUUCACGAGGCAUGUGCACACCUGGCUCAUCCACUCUCAACCUCUGUGCACUUUAUGUAAGAAACGGUGUAAGCCAGCUUUUGUUAGCUGGUCAUAAGCCUUUCUUAUGUUUUACUACAAACGUUUCAGUUCUAGAAUGUCUUUACUGUGUAUAACACAAUUUAUAUACAACUUUCAGCAACGGAUCUCUUGGCUCUCGCAUCGAUGAAGAACGCAGCGAAAUGCGAUAAGUAAUGUGAAUUGCAGAAUUCAGUGAAUCAUCGAAUCUUUGAACGCACCUUGCACUCCUUGGCAUUCCGAGGAGUAUGCCUGUUUGAGUCUCAUGGAAUUCUCAACCCCUAAAUUUUUGUAAUGAAUGUUUAGUGGGCUUGGACUUGGAGGUUGUGUCGGCUGUCUCAGUCGACUCCUCUGAAAAGCAUUAGCGUGAAUCUUACGGAUCGCCUUCAGUGUGAUAAUUAUCUGCGCUGUGGUGUUGAAGUAUUUAUUAGUUCAUGCUUAUAAUCGUCUCUGACCGGAGACAAUUAUUUGACAAUCUGAGCUCAAAUCAGGUAGGACUACCCGCUGAACUUAAGCAUAUCAAUAAGCGGAGGAAAAGAAACUAACAAGGAUUCCCCUAGUAACUGCGAGUGAAGCGGGAAAAGCUCAAAUUUAAAAUCUGGCGGCUUUGGUCGUCCGAGUUGUAUUCUAGAGAAGUGUUUUCCGCGUUGGACCGUGUAUAAGUCUCUUGGAACAGAGCGUCAUAGAGGGUGAGAAUCCCGUCUUUGACACGGACUACCAAUGCUUUGUGAUGCGCUCUCAAAGAGUCGAGUUGUUUGGGAAUGCAGCUCAAAAUGGGUGGUAAAUUCCAUCUAAAGCUAAAUAUUGGCGAGAGACCGAUAGCGAACAAGUACCGUGAGGGAAAGAUGAAAAGCACUUUGGAAAGAGAGUUAAACAGUACGUGAAAUUGCUGAAAGGGAAACGCUUGAAGUCAGUCGCGUUAGCUAGAACUCAACCAGGCUUGCUUGGCGUACUUUCUAGUUAACGGGCCAGCAUCAGUUUCGACCACAGGAUAAAGGCCAGGGAAAUGUGGCACCUUCGGGUGUGUUAUAGUCUCUGGUCACAUACUGUGAUUGGGACUGAGGAUCGCAGCACGCGCAAGUUGUGCUUAGGAUGCUGGCGUAAUGGCUUUAAACGACCCGUCUUGAAACACGGACCAAGGAGUCUAACAAACCUGCGAGUAUUUGGGUGGUAAACCCGAGUGCGYAAUGAAAGUGAAAGUUGGGAUCCCUGUCGUGGGGAGCACCGACGCCCGGACCAGACCUUCUGUGACGGCUCUGCGGUAGAGCAUGUUUGUUGGGACCCGAAAGAUGGUGAACUAUGCCUGAAUAGGGUGAAGCCAGAGGAAACUCUGGUGGAGGCUCGUAGCGAUUCUGACGUGCAAAUCGAUCGUCAAAUUUGGGUAUAGGGGCGAAAGACUAAUCGAACCAUCUAGUAGCUGGUUCCUGCCGAAGUUUCCCUCAGGAUAGCAGAAACUCAUUUCAGAUUUAUGUGGUAAAGCGAAUGAUUAGAGGCCUUGGGGUUGAAACAACCUUAACCUAUUCUCAAACUUUAAAUAUGUAAGAACAAGCCGUCACUUAAUUGGACCGCUUGGCGAUUGAGAGUUUCUAGUGGGCCAUUUUUGGUAAGCAGAACUGGCGAUGCGGGAUGAACCGAACGUGAGGUUAAGGUGCCGGAAUACACGCUCAUCAGACACCACAAAAGGUGUUAGUUCAUCUAGACAGCAGGACGGUGGCCAUGGAAGUCGGAAUCCGCUAAGGAGUGUGUAACAACUCACCUGCCGAAUGAACUAGCCCUGAAAUUGGAUGGCGCUCAAGCGUGUUACCCAUACCUCACCGUCAGUGUUUAAGUGAAGCACUGACGAGUAGGCAGGCGUGGAGGGUUGUGAAGAAGCCUAGGCAGUAUUGCUG